GAGAGUAUAGCUCAAUAGUAGAGUGCAUGCUUAGCAUGCACGAGGUCCUGGCUUCAAUCCCCAGUACCUCCA
rfam:Camelus ferus unplaced genomic scaffold scaffold632, whole genome shotgun sequence.